rnacentral:rRNA from 1 species
UGGGGAAUAUUGCACAAUGGGCGAAAGCCUGAUGCAGCAACGCCGCGUGAGUGGUGAAGGCCUUCGGGUUGUAAAGCUCUGUCUUUUGGGACGAUAAUGACGUACCAAAGGAGGAAGCCACGGCUAACUACGUGCCAGCAGCCGCGGUAAUACGUAGGUGGCAAGCGUUGUCCGAAUUUACUGGGCGUAAAGGAUGCGUAGGCGGAUUUUUAAGUGAGAUGUGAAAUACCCGGGCUUAACUUGGGUGCUGCAUUUCAAACUGGGAAUCUAGAGUGCGGGAGAGGAGAAUGGAAUUCCUAGUGUAGCGGUGAAAUGCGUAGAGAUUAGGAAGAACACCAGUGGCGAAGGCGAUUCUCUGGACCGUAACUGACGCUGAGGCAUGAAAGCGUGGGUAGCAAACAGGAUUAGAUACCCUGGUAGUCCACGCCGUAAACGAUGAGUACUAGGUGUAGGAGGUAUCGACCCCUUCUGUGCCGCAGUUAACACAAUAAGUACUCCGCCUGGGAAGUACGAUCGCAAGA